AACCCCGGCGAGGGGAGUGAAAAAGAACCUGAAACCGUGUACGUACAAGCAGUGGGAGCACCUUCGGGUGUGACUGCGUACCUUUUGUAUAAUGGGUCAGCGACUUAUAUUCUGUAGCAAGGUUAACCGUAUAGGGGAGCCGCAGGGAAACCGAGUCUUAACUGGGCGUUAAGUUGCAGGGUAUAGACCCGAAACCCGGUGAUCUAGCCAUGGGCAGGUUGAAGGUUGGGUAACACUAACUGGAGGACCGAACCGACUAAUGUUGAAAAAUUAGCGGAUGACUUGUGGCUGGGGGUGAAAGGCCAAUCAAACCGGGAGAUAGCUGGUUCUCCCCGAAAGCUAUUUAGGUAGCGCCUCGUGAAUUCAUCUUCGGGGGUAGAGCACUGUUUCGGCUAGGGGGUCAUCCCGACUUACCAACCCGAUGCAAACUACGAAUACCGAAGAAUGUUAUCACGGGAGACACACGGCGGGUGCUAACGUCCGUCGUGAAGAGGGAAACAACCCAGACCGCCAGCUAAGGUCCCAAAGUCAUGGUUAAGUGGGAAACGAUGUGGGAAGGCACAGACAGCCAGGAUGUUGGCUUAGAAGCAGCCAUCAUUUAAAGAAAGCGUAAUAGCUCACUGGUCGAGUCGGCCUGCGCGGAAGAUGUAACGGGGCUAAACCAUGCACCGAAGCUGCGGCAGCGACACUAUGUGUUGUUGGGUAGGGGAGCGUUCUGUAAGCCUGCGAAGGUGUGCUGUGAGGCAUGCUGGAGGUAUCAGAAGUGCGAAUGCUGACAUAAGUAACGAUAAAGCGGGUGAAAAGCCCGCUCGCCGGAAGACCAAGGGUUCCUGUCCAACGUUAAUCGGGGCAGGGUGAGUCGACCCCUAAGGCGAGGCCGAAAGGCGUAGUCGAUGGGAAACAGGUUAAUAUUCCUGUACUUGGUGUUACUGCGAAGGGGGGACGGAGAAGGCUAUGUUAGCCGGGCGACGGUUGUCCCGGUUUAAGCAUGUAGGCUGGUUGUCCAGGCAAAUCCGGAUAAUCAAGGCUGAGGUGUGAUGACGAGGCACUACGGUGCUGAAGUAACAAAUGCCCUGCUUCCAGGAAAAGCCUCUAAGCAUCAGGUAACAUUAAAUCGUACCCCAAACCGACACAGGUGGUCAGGUAGAGAAUACCAAGGCGCUUGAGAGAACUCGGGUGAAGGAACUAGGCAAAAUGGUGCCGUAACUUCGGGAGAAGGCACGCUGGUGUGUAGGUGAAGUCCCUGCGGAUGGAGCUGAGACCAGUCGAAGAUACCAGCUGGCUGCAACUGUUUAUUAAAAACACAGCACUGUGCAAACACGAAAGUGGACGUAUACGGUGUGACGCCUGCCCGGUGCCGGAAGGUUAAUUGAUGGGGUUAUCCGUAAGGAGAAGCUCUUGAUCGAAGCCCCGGUAAACGGCGGCCGUAACUAUAACGGUCCUAAGGUAGCGAAAUUCCUUGUCGGGUAAGUUCCGACCUG
rnacentral:rRNA from 1 species